UACGGGGGGAGCAAGCGUUGUUCGGAUUUACUGGGCGUAAAGGGCGCGUAGGCGGCCAGCACAGGUCAGUUGUGAAAUCUCCGAGCUUAACUCGGAAAGGUCAACUGAUACUGUGCGGCUAGAGUGCGGAAGGGGCAACUGGAAUUCUCGGUGUAGCGGUGAAAUGCGUAGAUAUCGAGAGGAACACCUGCGGCGAAGGCGGGUUGCUGGGCUGACACUGACGCUGACAGCGCGAAAGCUAGGGGAGCGAACGGG
rnacentral:rRNA from 1 species